AACGAACGCUGGCGGCGUGGAUAAGACAUGCAAGUCGAGCGCUCUUGUAGCAAUACUGGGGAGCGGCGAACGGGUGAGUAACACGUGAAUAAUCUGCCGAAAAGUUGGGGAUAGCCUUCCGAAAGGAAGAUUAAUACCGAAUGUGGCCAAGGAAUGCAUUUUCCUGAAGCUAAAGCCGUGAGGCGCUUUUUGAGGGGUUC
rnacentral:rRNA from 1 species